rnacentral:rRNA from 1 species
UACGGAGGGUGCGAGCGUUACCCGGAUUUACUGGGUGUAAAGGGCGAGUAGGCGGUCUCUCAAGUCGGAUGCUAAAGACCGAUGCUCAACCUCGGGAGUGCGUUGGAUACUGUGAGGCUAGACGGUCGGAGAGGGCAGCGGAAUUCUCGGAGUAGCGGUGAAAUGCGCAGAUACCGAGAGGAACGCCAAUAGCGAAGGCAGCUGCCUGGACGAGUUGUGACGCUGAGGCGCGAAAGCGUGGGGGGCAAACCGG